GAUCGUAGCCAGCAGAGAUCAUGGACAGAUACAAAGAGAGGGCCAGCCAGGGGGCGCCAUCCAUGGCUAACGCAACGGGAUUUAUUACGGAAGUGCACGUACAACUUUUGUACUCAUUUGGUCCAUGCUUUUUUUUUUUUUUUCCUUCAAAAAGCAGUGUAAUAUCGUUGCUGCAACUCUUCCAAGUGGUUUUGCGUUGAACAAGGAAUAUUGUCAUGAGAGUCGAACAGGAAGGUGCACGUCAAAAUUGCACUACUCGAUGUCUCCUGAUGAUCUAAUUUUUGUUUCACAAUGCGUUUACUGUGCUGGUAUGUGCUUGUGAAAAUAUGAGUGGUAAUAUGCUUCAGUAGUUUUGGCUUGGUACGCAAACCUGUGACUUCUGUGACUGUGACUUCUCUACAGUUGAAGGCAUGAGUAUACUUGUGGUGUACCUGAGGUUGCUGUAGCAUUUGGCAUCACUUCUGCUUACGUGUGUAUGGACCUUGUUUCAGCGGCAAAUUUGUUGUGUGUCCUAGCAGUAUGACAUUUAAUUGCCUAAGGUACAGGUACAACCCCCCCCCCCCCCCCUCCAUCUGCUGAAACGGUUAACUACAGUGACUGUACGGUUAACAAUUCGAAGGGCAGAAGAGAAGCACAAGUGCGCGAAUAUCUGAGGCUUUGUUUUAAAAUCCCGCUGUGCAAAUCAAAUAUCACCAUGUCUUGACAGUACACGCCAAGCACUAUGUGUGAAUGCUGAGCAACUGUACAAGGUCACAGUCGUAUCAGUGGAUAUCAUGUUCUUAUGUUGGGGUGACACCUAACAGAAUGCACAGGAGAACAACACUUCGUCCUCUCGCAGUCACAGUGUGAAUGUUUGGACCAAGUGCAGGUUCUGAGACUGAGGACACGUGCAACACAGUGUGAAUGACCAAGAGAAACGUACAUAAGUACCUAGAAGGGAGUGCAAGUUACUGUGUGACAUUCUGCCAGUGGCCUCCAGAGACAUAUGCACAGGAAGACCCGAAACGGAAAAUGCCGCUUCCUCCGACGACUCCCAAACGUGUACUGACCCGAGACAAACGCACCAGUGCAGGUUCUGUC